rfam:Toxocara canis scaffold3876, whole genome shotgun sequence.
GCAGCAAUGUCCGAGUGGUUAAGGAGUCUGACUUGAAAUCAAAUGGGCUCUGACCGCGUGCGUUCGAGUCCUGCUGGCUGCG